rnacentral:rRNA from 1 species
UACGAGGGGAGCAAGCGUUGUUCGGAUUUACUGGGCGUAAAGGGCGCGUAGGCGGCGUGACAAGUCACUUGUGAAAUCUCCGGGCUUAACCCGGAACGGUCAAGUGAAACUGUCGUGCUAGAGUACAGAAGGGGCAACUGGAAUUCUCGGUGUAGCGGUGAAAUGCGUAGAUAUCGAGAGGAACACCGGCGGCGAAGGCGGGUGGCGGGGCUGAUACUGACGCGGAGGCGCGAAAGCCAGGGGAGCGAACGGG